GCCUCUGCGAGAUGUCUACGUGAUGUAGACAACCUCAGCGCGUUCAGGAACCUCAAUGUCAUGAAAUCCUAUCUGGUUUGACCGCCCAGCGACCGCGACCGCGAAGGUGCCGUCCACCUUUUCGGCAUUAUUGUCUCCACCAAGAGUCAACCUAUCUGCGUGCAAAUCGGACUCGACAACUUCCACAAAUGAUUUCCCUGCAAUCGCAGAAUCAGGUGUUGUAUCACUUGACACAGCUUACGUCAACCGUUACACCUAGACCAUCGCCAUUUGGCGCAAGAUUAAAAAGACGCAAUGAGUCCGAUAAAAAAACUAAAGAUGUUGUCUGCGCAGAUAGUUUCCAAGAGACAGCCAAAAACUGUACCGAAAUGUCGAUGGAAAACUUAACCCUACAGCAUUUGGCUGCACCUCUUCGGCUUAAGAGGGGUGACAUAUGGGAGAUCUUAGAACAGGUUUCUAAGGGCAACUCGUUAAAGGUUGCUGACAGUAAUCUCCGGCAAAGAACAUCUUAUGUCUCACACUCUAGCUUUGCCGAAAACAAACGACACUUCCCGUGCUCUCAUCUUUCCGAACCAAUAAUCUUACCUGCGAUAUACAUCUCUUUGAAACAACAUCAACAUAGACUAUUUCAUAGAGUCUGCUUUGCAACAUCCUUUGGACAUGACUUCCAAGUGCGCCACUUCAAAACAAAACGCACUUUAAUCUCUGAAGUAGAAAGGAAUCCUCCAUUUGGGACAAAAUUUCGAAAAUGGAUUGGAGUCCCAUCUCAGGACAAAGCAAAGGAUUAUCCUGAAUUAGAAAAGGUCCGAAAUAUGCUGAACGAUGCCGAACUACCUGCAGAAGAACAACAAAGAGUUAAAGUGGCUUUUGCAGAAGGAUAUUUGGCUGGAUAUGGAGGAAAAUCCAAGAAUAUUUUCAUUAGAGCCCUUAAAGGAAUCAACUACGGAAUAAUGAUAGGUCUUGUGUGUUCCAUAGUACUUAUUAUGACGGCAGGUACUGCAGGCAGUUUUUUCCGGAUCUCAAUAGGCAAUCAUAAUGAAGUAGAUCCUGAAGAUAUUCAUGUGACUUUCAACGAUGUUAAAGGCGUUGACGAGGCCAAGCAAGAGUUACGCGAUGUUGUAGAAUUCUUGAAGAAUCCCGACAAGUUUUCAGCACUCGGUGGGAAGUUACCGAAAGGAGUAUUGCUUGUUGGUCCACCAGGAACUGGAAAGACUCUGCUAGCACGCGCUGUUGCAGGAGAAGCCGGAGUGCCAUUUUUCCAUGCGGCGGGUCCUGAGUUUGAUGAAAUUUUAGUUGGUCAAGGGGCCAGAAGAGUUAGAGAUCUUUUUAAGACUGCUAAGGAACGUGCACCAUGCGUAGUGUUUAUCGAUGAGAUAGAUUCAGUUGGUGCAAAGAGGACUACUUCGGUUCUCCAUCCAUACGCAAACCAGACAAUCAAUCAAUUACUUUCUGAAAUGGAUGGAUUUCACCAGAAUGAAGGCGUAAUAGUUUUGGGAGCUACCAACAGAAGGGAAGAUUUAGACAGAGCUCUCAUGAGGCCUGGUCGCUUCGAUGUUGAGAUCGUUGUUAAUCCACCAGACUACAAUGGUCGCAAGGAGAUUCUUGACCUGUACUUGAGUCGAGUCCUGACACAUAAUGUAGAUGUAGAUUACCUUGCCAGGUGCACCACCGGAUUCACUGGCGCAGAUCUUGAGAAUAUGAUCAAUCAAGCUGCGGUGAAGGCUGCUUUGGAUGGUGCGGAAUCAGUUACGAUGGAAUUUUUGGAAAGAGCCAGGGACAAGGUUCUCUUGGGACCUGAAGGUAAAAAGAGGAUGCAGGACGAAGAGGUCAAUCGAAUUACAGCUUAUCACGAAAGCGGCCAUGCCCUCGUAGCUUACUUCACCAAGGAUUCAACGCCGAUACAUAAAGUGACCAUCGUACCACGAGGCCACUCUCUUGGACGUACGUCAUUCCUGCCUGAAAAGGAUGUCUAUCAUACGACAAAAUCGCAAUUGUUGGCAAUGAUGGAUACGGCAAUGGGUGGACGAGCAGCUGAGGAACUAAUAUUUGGUCCCGAUAAAGUCACCACUGGUGCUUACAACGACUUUGAGAGAGCCACCGAAAUAGCAGAAGGAAUGGUAAAGAAGUACGGAAUGUCGGAAAAAGUUGGUUUCAGGGCUCACAAGGAUCCGAACAGCUCUUAUUCUGUUAAUAAUGGUAGCGACGUCAGUCCUGGCAUGAGUGAACUCAUUGACAGCGAAGUGAAACGUCUUCUGCAGGAGUCGUACGAUCGUGCGAAAACGAUCUUGAAAAAUCACGCAAAGGAGCAUAAACAAAUGGCGGAUGCUCUGCUGAAGUACGAGACUCUGGACCUGGAGGACGUGAAGGCGAUCGUUAACGGCAAGAAAACCAAGCCAGAGAACUUGACCAGUAAGAGACCGAUUCUGGAAGUUCCAAAGAAUGUCAUGACAUAAUCGAUUCAUCAGGAAGCAGCCUGUGGCGACACUUAACCAUCCCUUGAAAUCGCUUCGCCUCGUUCGUUUAUUUCCUUCCGAAAAAGAGACAAAAGUAACGAUAAAUAGAGCAAAACCUUAAAACGCACGGAAAACCGUCGAGUCUUCCAGAAUUUCAAACGGAUCGAUAGGAGCAUUUGACGUGCUUACUCUUAAUUGACAGCACUAGAGAUCCCUCGAAAAAUUUCAUCGCACCUCCUUUGAUCCGAAGUAAAGAACGAAGUUUCCCAAGCAGAACUCCUCGAAAGUAGUUUAACCUAUAGACUGCUUUAGCCGGUGUCAGGAAAUCAUACAAACUGACGAUUAACUCAGCGAAAUGGAAUUUUUGUGAAAACAAACGAGGAAAGAGUACCACGAUCUGAAACGCUUGGCUAUUUAGCUGCAUAAUCGAAAAUGUUUAAAUAACAAGGAAUUGAAAAUUAAGUGGAACCUUGAGUAAACGAGAUUUUUUUGCGAUCGAAAGCGAAGAACAUCCAAGGGAUCGAAGCAAAGGGAUGGCUUUCAUGUUGCGACUCGAUCGGUCCUGUGGGACUUCCUUGAUCGAAAUGGGGUUUGCUGGAUGAAAUGAAAUUUUUCCAGACAAUGAUGAGAAAAACAUCGAGAGCAACGACGGCAGUCGACCGGAGAAGCCCUAAGAGAAUUUGCAUCGACCACUUGCAUUCAUCGCUAAUUUCCGGCAACUCUAUUGAGAAGCCGACGUAACUGUCUGACAAAGUACUGAGAUAAAUCAAGAGUUAACUGCAAGAAAAUGUUUUAGAUUUAAAGGACUUACCGUUUACUAGGCAUCCUGUCGUUAAAUCUCGAGUAGACUCCCCGAGUAAGACUUGACCACACUUCUCGAAGUAGGUUCAAUGAGACGCCUUGUUUUACUCUCUGUCAUAAUAAGAACGUUGGAAUUAAUCACGAGGCAUUUCUGUUAUGAAGGAACACUCGAGAAUCUCCAAAUUUCACGUUUCCUCGAUAACGCGUCUAAAAGGACAAGACACGGUCUUAACAAUAUGCCUCCCCAAUCUCGGAUUCUUCGAGCCAAUCGUCUGUAUAAUGAUAUAAUAAAGAAUCUAGACUGCUGUAAAGGGAAUGCCUACUUCUAUCUUUCGUUCCGUUAUAUCAAUUAUGAUGUACUGACAAGGUGAGUAUGCCAAUGCUUAAAUGUCCAGAUAACAUAAAGUUUUAUAUAACAAGUA